rnacentral:misc_RNA from 1 species
CAGAGUUCAUGCCCUUCUGGGUAGAUCUCCCACCCUGUGUUAUCAUUACUUUGUUGCUUUGGCGGGCCGUUAGGCUUCGGCUUGGCUACCGGCCCCGGCUGGUAAGCGCCCGCCAGAGGACCCCAAACUCUGAAUGUUAGUGUCGUCUGAGUACUAUAAAAUAGUUA